rnacentral:misc_RNA from 1 species
GAUGAAGAACGUAGCGAAAUGCGAUAAGUAAUGCGAAUUGCAGAAUCCGUGAGUCAUCGAAUCUUUGAACGCACAUUGCGCCCCUUGGUUAUUCCGAAGGGCAUGCCUGUUCGAGCGUCAUUUGUACCCUCAAGCUAUGCUUGGUGUUGGGUGUUUGUCCUCUCCUUUGCGAUUGGACUCGCCUUAAAGACAUUGGCAGCCAGUGUAUUGGUCUUGAAGCGCAGCACAUUUUGCGAUUCUUGCUGAUAAUCACUAGCGUCCAGUAAGCCUAUUUUAACACUUUUGACCUCGGAUCAGGUAGGGAUACCCGCUGAACUUAAGCAUAUCAAUAAGCGGAGGA